rnacentral:rRNA from 1 species
AACAGGAUUAGAUACCCUGGUAGUCCAUGCCGUAAACGUUGGGCACUAGGUGUGGGGACCAUUCCACGGUUUCCGCGCCGCAGCUAACGCAUUAAGUGCCCCGCCUGGGGAGUACGGCCGCAAGGCUAAAACUCAAAGGAAUUGACGGGGGCCCGCACAAGCGGCGGAGCAUGCGGAUUAAUUCGAUGCAACGCGAAGAACCUUACCAAGGCUUGACAUGUUCUCGAUCGCCGUAGAGAUACGGUUUCCCCUUUGGGGCGGGAUCACAGGUGGUGCAUGGUUGUCGUCAGCUCGUGUCGUGAGAUGUUGGGUUAAGUCCCGCAACGAGCGCAACCCUCGUUCCAUGUUGCCAGCACGUAAUGGUGGGGACUCAUGGGAGACUGCCGGGGUCAACUCGGAGGAAGGUGGGGACGACGUCAAAUCAUCAUGCCCCUUAUGUCUUGGGCUUCACGCAUGCUACAAUGGCCGGUACAAUGGGUUGCGAUACUGUGAGGUGGAGCUAAUCCCAAAAAGCCGGUCUCAGUUCGGAUUGGGGUCUGCAACUCGACCCCAUGAAGUCGGAGUCGCUAGUAAUCGCAGAUCAGCAACGCUGCGGUGAAUACGUUCCCGGGCCUUGUACACACCGCCCGUCAAGUCACGAAAGUCGGUAACACCCGAAGCCGGUGGCCUAACCCUUGUGGGGGGAGCCGUCGAAGGUGGGACCAGCGAUUGGGACUAAGUCGUAACAAGGUAACC